AGCAGCCGCGGUAAUUCCAGCUCCAAUAGCGUAUAUUAAAGUUGUUGCAGUUAAAAAGCUCGUAGUUGAAUUUCGGGAUCAAUAUGUUGGUCGUGCCUUGGUACGUACUGGCGUCAUUGGUUUCUACCUUCUGAAGAACCUCGAUGUCAUUAAUUUGGUGUCUUGGGGAAUCAGGACUGUUACUUUGAAAAAAUUAGAGUGUUUAAAGCAAGCUCACGCUUGAAUACAUUAGCAUGGAAUAAUGAAAUAGGACGUUUGAUUCUAUUUUGUUGGUUUCUAGGAUCGACGUAAUGAUUAAUAGGGAUAGUUGGGGGCAUUAGUAUUCAAUUGUCAGAGGUGAAAUUCUUGGAUUUAUUGAAGACUAACUACUGCGAAAAGCAUUUGCCAAGGAUGUUUUCAUUAAUCAAGAACGAAAGUUAGGGGAUCGAAGACGAUCAGAUACCGUCGUAGUCUUAACCAUAAACUAU
rnacentral:rRNA from 1 species